CCCCCCCCCCUCUGGGGCUUAACAUUGAUAGGUGCAUAAACAAACGGUUUGUUUACAUUUUGAACUGCUGUAUUUUUAAAAAUAUGAUGUACUGUCUGAAUAUCUAACACCAUUUUGGUUCGCUAUGCUUCUAAAUGAAUAUGAAAUAGAGUUUAUGUUCAGAAAAAUUCGAAACAUUCGAAAUUUGGGCAAUGUUCACAUUAGAGGUCCUCACAUUGUUAUGAGCAGAACCGAUGCGCAGAACGGACUUGACUUCCACUUUAAAUUUUGUCAAAAGAUUUGAAUGAGAACGUUGGGCCACCAUAGAACAGUCUAUUGAUUUCAUCCCAGA